rnacentral:tRNA from 1 species
GUUUUUAUAGUUUAAGUAUAACACUAGUUCUUCAAACUAACGGUUCAGGUUAAACCCCUGGUAAAAACU